CCUCGGGGGGCUGCAGUGGGGAAUAUUGGACAAUGGGGGGAACCCUGAUCCAGCCAUGCCGCGUGUGUGAAGAAGGCCCUCGGGUUGUAAAGCACUUUCAGUGAGGAAGAACGCCUGGUGGUUAAUACCCAUCAGGAAAGACAUCACUCACAGAAGAAGCACCGGCUAACUCCGUGCCAGCAGCCGCGGUAAUACGGAGGGUGCGAGCGUUAAUCGGAAUUACUGGGCGUAAAGCGCGCGUAGGUGGCUUGAUAAGCCGGUUGUGAAAGCCCCGGGCUCAACCUGGGAACGGCAUCCGGAACUGUCAAGCUAGAGUGCAGGAGAGGAAGGUAGAAUUCCCGGUGUAGCGGUGAAAUGCGUAGAGAUCGGGAGGAAUACCAGUGGCGAAGGCGGCCUUCUGGACUGACACUGACACUGAGGUGCGAAAGCGUGGGUAGCAAACAGGAUUAGAUACCCCGGUAGUC
rnacentral:rRNA from 1 species